rnacentral:rRNA from 1 species
UACGUAGGGGGGCAAGCGUUGUCCGGAAUCAUUGGGCGUAAAGAGCGUGUAGGCGGCCCGGUAAGUCCGCUGUGAAAGUCGGGGGCUCAACCCUCGAAUGCCGGUGGAUACUGUCGGGCUAGAGUGCGGAAGAGGCGAGUGGAAUUCCUGGUGUAGCGGUGAAAUGCGCAGAUAUCAGGAGGAACACCAAUUGCGAAGGCAGCUCGCUGGGACGUAACUGACGCUGAGACGCGAAAAGCGUGGGGGAGCAAACAGG